UACACCAGCUGGUGCUAGGUCCCUGUAACUAUGGUAAUACACCAGCAGAUGCUAGGUCCCUGUCACAUGUAACUACGGCAACACACCAUCUGGUGCUUGGUCCCUGUAACUAUGGUAAUACACCAUCUGGUGCUAGGUCCCUGUAACUAUGGCAACACACCAGCAGAUGCUAGGUCCCUUUCUCAUAGUUAGAAGGAAUACAAACUUUCUGAUCUCUGGUAAGAGAGCUUUAGCUUAUUGGACCUUCGUUGUUAAGAAUGUGAUGAUUUUAUCAAGGAGGCGUUUAGACCAGUCAAAACGACAACACACCACAACAAUGUAUACAAUAUCAAGAGCAAAGGCUGCAUAUUCUAUAAAUGUCUUGAAUAUUUGUUUAAAUAUUGUUUUAAAAUGAUCUCAAACUUGUCCUAAUAAUUGUGUAAAAGUAAUACUUUUGAGAGGGUCCCAAACUGAGGCAGAUGAAGUCAAGGUUAUUGAAGUCAAUACAUCACCUCCGUCUAACUGCCUGCAGUUUCUGAUGGUUGUACAGCUGCCAUCAAUGUCUUUAUGUUGUUACUUAGUUUGUUUAUUUAUGCAGCCUUGACCCUGUUGUUUACUGAGACUUGCCGUCAGUGUCCAGCAUGUGUGUCUGAAUGAGACCACUGGGUUGACUCCGGUUGACUCCGGUUGACUGGUUAUGUUAUUGUAACUGUGUGGAAAUUAGGCAGGGCUCCAGAUAAGUUUUCAACAUGAGGAGUACGUACUCCUUAUUGUUUAAAUAUUGGAGAACUGGAAAAACUUAGACUACAUUUAGAGUACUGAAUGGAAAUUAAUGGAGUAUCAGUGAUCUUGUAUUUCGUUUCAUAUGUGCACCACAACAUUGCUACUCAUGUGUAAACAGGUCAAUAAACAAUAAAACAACACUUUUUCAGAUAAAUAUGUAUGUAAAUUAUUCUAAGACCAUACACCAUUUACUGUGGUUCUAAAGUAUCUGCAUGUUUUUUAACCGUACACACGCCGAUAUGGCCCUUAUCUGGAGCCCUGAUUAGGCCUUUUACUUUACAGUUUACAGUGGCUUACAAAGCAUUCAGACAAAUAAAGCUUUAGGGACAUUUUAUGUGGAGUCCAGUCUGUUUCGCUAUCAGGUAUGGUCCCAGCGAUGUGAAUGUAAUUUAUAGUUGUGUGGAAAACACCACAAACUACGGAAACUCCUGUUGUUGUCGGCAAUUAAUAUAUAUAAUUUGUGGCAACAUGUUUUGUAAAACAGCCGAAGGAACUGAAAGGCCAACAAUGCAUGUUGACUGUAUGAGCAUGGCAACGUGAACUGAUUUGUCAGGAAGUCGACUGAUUGCUGCUGCAUCCAUUGUCAUCAGUGUGUUGUUGUUAGCAAAUAGUCUUUCUAUGUUAUACAGUAACUUGGAAUGUUUGUUGAUGUAAAUAUUCUUGUAAUUUAUAAAUUUGUUGCAUUACAUAUGUUAUAUCUACAUAUAUCUGUGAUGAUGUCCUGGAAAUUUCCGUGGUACAUG